rnacentral:lncRNA from 1 species
GACUUUUGUUUUAAGUUCUUGUUCAUUUUGCUUUUAUUUUAUUUUACUCUUAUUUCAUAUUUAUAUACAUAUGCGACAAAGGAAAAGAAAGAAAAAGACUCACCGGAGUCGUUUGGCCUUCUCGUUGUCGGAAGAGCUCCUCCCCGAUGUUACAACCGUUCUAAGGAGAGGACAAAGUUUUUUUUAAAACAUUUUUGGGCUAGAAGGGCUUGAUCCUUAAAUCCAUCUGAAAAGGGGUAAAAAAUGGGCCUUUUCGCAUUCUCCGGCCACCGUGGAUGGCGGCGCCGUCGCCGGCGACCGACGGCCGCUACGGUGGUCUG